CUGCUGAGAGACACUCAUCUUUAUAACCAGGCUACAGGAUAAGACAUCCCACUUCCACAUCCACAUGAUUAUCACUGUUUGCUUUAAAGACAUUACUAAGAGUCUUAAAUGUCAUGUAUUUCUAAACUCAUGGUUCUGGGCGGUUAAUGUUAAGGCUCUUGUAUGUUCAAUUAUUCAGGGAGCAAGAACCCCCAUAAGGAACCAUACUGCCAAAGAUAAAAUGAGUUCAAUAAACUCAAGUAAACUUGCUAAAGUGGUUCCUGUCAUGCUGUCUGGUCUCUGAUUCCCUGGGUGUCCACUAGUGGUCUCACUUCCCCAAAGGCACCUCACUGCAGGCACUACAAUUCCCACAAGCUUUGUCCCUUCAUCGCGGUAAUUGCACACCUGUUAAUUGCACUCAGGUGUCUUCACUGUCAUAGUCAUUAUCCUGCCUAUAUAAUCCGGUCUUUUUCCAUUUGUCUGUGUAGCAGGGUAAGGUAUUAGCCUAGAUAUGAUUGGUUGACGUCACUCCAGCCUGGGAACCUAUCAGUGUUCCUACUCCUUCAUCAUUGGUUAAAAUGGUUUGAAUCCAAUGAACCUAUCAGUGUUGGGAUUGAUCCUAUUAAAAAGGGAAUAGUUUGAUUUACUCAAGAUACAUCAUCCUGGGUACUAGAUCAUUGUGGAAAGUCAUGGACAAAGGAUAGGGUUUUGUUGCAUCUCCCUGUUGGUGUCGCAAGUAGGCCUUUUUCAGCAUGCUAGCAGCCAUGGUCUCGUGUGGUAAGCAACCAUGCGUUUUGCUACAUUGGAAUUCUCUCUCGGUGUAACUACACUUCCAGGGGUUUCCAGUACCUUGGUUCAAGACAAAUGUACAUCAGUAUGACUGCACUGCUGCUUUGGUUUUAGUGUUUGUGUAACCAUUUAACUGUUGUGAUAUAAAUGUCUUAGUUUAUACCAGUUAAUUAUGUGAUUUAGGAGUAGGAACUUUUAAAGUGGGGGUUUUAUACUUUCAGUGUGUCCACUUGGGUUAGUGUGGUGUUUGGCCAAUUGUAUUCCUCUCACAAUUGAGUGGUUUGCGGUAUGAUGUGAGGUGAUAAUCCAAAAGGCCCCUGCUGGACAUUUUUCUCCUCCUGGUCAUUUUUUUGUAACUGGUAGACUUGUGUAUUAGGCAUGUUUUAUAUUGUAUCCAAAAACGAUGUUUAAACCAUUACAGUUGUGUGUGUAUAUAAAUAAAUUGCAAAUAUAUUGUACUAUCUGUCUCUAUGCUCACCCUGGCUGUUGGCCACGAACCUGUGUGCCCUUUCGUAGGGCUGUUAUGUCCCGGUAUAUUCCGGGUGGCGUAGUCGAUGUAUAUCCACUUUUGGUGGGUCCGCUCCCCUACCUGACCACUCAAUGCCACAUCUGCAUGGAGUCCUUACUUUACGUCACCUAGUUUCCUCGCGUUUCCUAGUCCUUGAGUUCCUGUUCUUGUUCUUGUUCCUGUUUAUUUUUUUAUUUUUUUAUUUUUUCAUUUGGAUUGAUGUUGGUUACGACCCUGGCUUGUUUUUUACUUUGAUUUGGACCACACUGCACUUGGAUCUCCCGUCUCCUGUGUUCCCAUACGUGACAGUUCCUGUCUGAAAUCAUGUUCAUAGUUUCUACCUAUAGUGUACAUACACUUUACAUAAUCCAUCUGUAUAGUGUGAUCAUAGUACACCUAUCUGUAUAUCAUGCUGAUAGUAUUUAAAAUCUGCAAAUUUUGUCCAUAAUACUGCCUUAUUUCUAUAUGUAUUGUACAUUUGUAACAUAUUGUAGACCUUGAUAUAAUUUACAUCCCAGCACAGUUCCUUAAAGUCUGUGUUUGUUAUAAUGCAGCACGUGUGUAGUCAGGCUUCGGAGAGACGUCUAUCUUAAGUAAUGUAGCAUCUCUGGUCAUUCUCUCUCUGAACUUCUGAGGACGACUGAGCCUGGUUUCUCCAUUCUGUCACCGAUGGAGUUUUGGUUCCUUGCUGCUGUCACCUCUGGCUUGCUUAGUUGGGAUCACUUAAUUUAUAGUGAUAUCGUUGACUUGAUUGCAAAUGAUUGCACAUAUACUAUUUAAACUGAACUGAGAUGAUGACAUCACUGAAUUCAAUGAUGACCUGCCUUUAACUAUCAUUUUGCAUUACUGACACACUGUUUUCCCAAUUAAUGUUGUUCAGUUGCUUUGACGCAAUGCAUUUUGUUUAAAGCGCUACAUAAAGGUGACUUGACUUGGUUGAAACCAUUGUGCACACAUGAAGAAAACACUGGUCUCUUGUGGAGAGGUUCAUUUAACAGUUGUGAUGAAGCACCAUCAACUUCAGUUCUGUCAAGACCACUAUUGUCAAAGACGAUUGACAAAGUAAGAACUCCCUACACAUUGAUGAAUCCUAGCAUGGAUAAGAGCAGAGCAGGAAGAGCAACAAUAACCCUCUAGAGUAAACAGAACAGAACCAACAUAAAUGCUUUGCAGAUUUCAUUAAUUUUCAAUAAUUAAAUGUACACAUUUUUAAAUUAUUCUGAUUCAAGAAGAAUCCGAAGGCUAACUCCUGACCGGGCGAGAGGAGCAGCUGGGGAUGGAGAAGGUUAAUUAGCUAUUGAGCAACAAAUAAAGCUGCUGAUAGUACUGAAAGACCUUAUAUAUGAAAGUUGAGAUAGGCGUUGUGCUCCUAUAGGAGUCAGCUGAUGCAAGCUUGACUGACGUGACCUACCAGGACUAAUAAUAUUGUUUGAUCUCACACUUCCAUCCCAGUUUAUUAAUGCAUCCCUCCUAUCCCCUGACCACUCCAAUCAGAAGCCGUUUAUGUAUGUGUAUGUGUAUAUGUAUGUAUGUAUGUAUGUAUGCAUUUAAUCAAUAUUUCAUCAGUGUUGGUCUAUGACAUGGGUGUCCUCAACUUUUUCCCUGGAGGGCAAUUGUCCUGCAGAGUUUAACUUCAGAUUAGCAGUCUGAAGACCUAGAUCAUAGUUGGGUCAGCUGAGUUUAAUUAGGGUUGAAAAGAGCAGUGAGUAUUUCAGGGCUUUUAGUGCAUUAUAUUCUUUCUGAAAUAAAAUGUAACUUUUGUUUAUAAAAUAUUGAUUUGAUUAUUCACAUUUUGGUCUCACACAUCUUACACAAAUAAAAUGUUAAUAAUUUCCACAUAAAAAUUUUUUGUGGGCAAGUUGAGUGAGAAUUGGGUGGAUGGUAUGAGACAGAAGGAGGGAGAUCAGUGUUAGAAAGGUCAGUGGGUUGCCUACUAGACAGAUUCCCAGUGAACUGUCCUCUGUAGCUAAUUGAGGUUAAAUGUCCUGCUGUGACUCAGACACUUCACUCGACAUAUGCUUCAGAUUUGCAAGUGUCAGUCAAAAUAAUGAGCUCUAGAUGGUUUCAAGUAAAGCAGAGUACACAGACUGGUUAAAAAAAAGGAACAGUUGUAUUAAAAUUUUCAUAUUAAUACCCAACUCAUAUUGAUAGAUCAUACUUAUUGGGGCUACACAGUUCUUUAGAUUUGUAUAACAUUUCUGUUAACUUUUCUAUGAUAAAAUAUUGGUACUGUUUUGGAUCCCCAUAGAGAACCACUAUGCUGGACUAGAAACAACUCACCAGAAUGA